rnacentral:lncRNA from 10 species
GUAACACUGACACAUAGAAAGAUGCUGCAACAGCCCCAUCCGGGUGGCAGAAACCACCACCCCUCGGGCGGUGCGGUGCUUCCCGGGGGAGAAGAAUUUUAAGAAGGUGGUAGACUGGCAGAUGUGACCCGCCAUCACACAAGAAGAAUGGAAGAGAUGGUGGCACACUGAGACUAGUUGGAGACCCCUAGGAAAUUACCCUUCAGUUUCCUGUGGCUCCCAAGUGAUGGAGGAAGGCUGAAAGUUCUUGCGGGCAAGGAGAGAGGGAAGGAGCAGAAACUGGUUAUGGUACAUAAAUCUAUACAAGGAGAAC